GAAAAUAACAAGCGGGGUGUAAGGGUCCCAAACAAGAGAGCUCCAAGCCCCGAUGUAUCUGGAGGCCUUCCAGCAUUCCUUGUAUAGAGCACAGUCUGAGACCGGGAGGAGGGCUCUAAAUAGUUUAUUCCAGGGACGGGGGAGGGCCAGGCGGGCGUCCAGGAGCGACGGACCAGGUCGGUGGAGCCUCAGUGGGGGGCGCCCUGCGGAAAACAGAAAGUGAGGACGCAGCUAGGGAGCAAACAGGUUUCCUAGACAGCUCCAUCCCACGCCGUCCCACCUCUUUCUUCCUGCAAUCGCCACAGAAGACACCAAUGGUCGCGUUCACCAGCUGCAGCCCACACAGCAAGAUCUCCAGGCACGAGGCGGCCACCAGCAGCGAGAAGAGAGUCACGUUCCAGUAGACAAUACCAGGCUGCUGGUGGCCGCCUCGUGCCUGGAGAUCUUGCUGUGUGGGCUGCAGCUGGUGAACGCGACCAUUGGUGUCUUCUGUGGCGAUUGCAGGAAGAAAGAGGGCGCCCCCCACUGAGGCUCCACCGACCUGGUCCGUCGCUCCUGGACGCCCGCCUGGCCCUCCCCCGUCCCUGGAAUAAACUAUUUAGAGCCCUCCUCCCGGUCUCAGACUGUGCUCUAUACAAGGAAUGCUGGAAGGCCUCCAGAUACAUCGGGGCUUGGAGCUCUCUUGUUUGGGACCCUUACACCCCGCUUGUUAUUUUCUUAAUAAAUAGUUACUGAGCUAUUGGUGCGCUGGAAAUACAGUGUA
rnacentral:lncRNA from 1 species